UCCACGCCGUAAACGAUGAUCACUCGUUGUGUGCGAUAUAUUGUACGUGACUGAGCGAAAGCAUUAAGUGAUCCACCUGGGGAGUACGUCGGCAACGAUGAAACUCAAAGGAAUUGACGGGGGCCCGCACAAGCGGAGGAACAUGUGGUUUAAUUCGAUGAUACGCGAGGAACCUUACCUGGGCUUAAAUGUAGCGUGACUUUUCUGGAAACAGAAUUUCCCUUGGGGCAAGU
rnacentral:rRNA from 1 species